rnacentral:rRNA from 1 species
CCUACGGGUGGCAGCAGUGAGGAAUAUUGGUCAAUGGGCGCGAGCCUGAACCAGCCAAGUAGCGUGCAGGAUGACUGCCCUACGGGUUGUAAACUUCUUUUAUAAAGGAAUAAAGUGAGGCACGUGUGCCUUUUUGUAUGUACUUUAUGAAUAAGGAUCGGCUAACUCCGUGCCAGCAGCCGCGGUAAUACGGAGGAUCCGAGCGUUAUCCGGAUUUAUUGGGUUUAAAGGGAGCGUAGAUGGGUUGUUAAGUCAGUUGUGAAAGUUUGCGGCUCAACCGUAAAAUUGCAAUUGAUACUGGUCGGCUUGAGUACAGUUGAGGUAGGCGGAAUGCGUGGUGUAGCGGUGAAAUGCUUAGAGAUCACACAGAACUCCGAUUGCGAAGGCAGCUUACUAAGCUGCCACUGACAUUGAGGCUCGAAAGUGUGGGUAGCAAACAGGAUUAGAUACCCUAGUAGUC